GCUGGGUGUGGUGGCGCGCACCUGUAAUCCCAACUACUCAGAGGCUGAGGCAGGAGAAUCGCCUGAACCUGGGAGGUAGAGGUUGCAGUGAGCCGAGAUCGUGCCACUGCACUCCAGCCUGGGUGACAAAGUGGGACCCUGUCUCAA
rfam:Homo sapiens chromosome 11, GRCh38 reference primary assembly.